GUUACGCAGCAGCUUGUUUAUAUAAACUAUAGUAGUGUUUCUGAAGCAAACACAGCAAUUUUACCAGUGCAGAGCAACACUGCACAAUAUUUUAAUUAUUUUGAGACACUUUCAGUUUUGGUGCUACUGGAGGUACCAUAAAAUAAGGAGUUGGAGUCGAAGGAUUUAUGUACCGACUCCGCAGCCCUGAGGGGUCAGGAACAUAAGAUUCUUCCAAUGUCUAUUGGGCAUCUGCAGUGCACCAUGAAGGGCAAUAUCAAGCUGGAUCUAAGAAACUCAUAAACACAGCACUAGCAUCUGAAGCACCCCCCAUACACCAACAUUGAUAUACAGUAGAACCCCUAUAUUACUUUUUUCAGGGGACCAGGGGGUAAAAUACAGGAAAAUGUAAAAUGAGGGAAAUGUAUUAAUGUAUUAUGCAUAAUAUAUAGGUGGGACCUCAAAACAACAAUGUAAAAUGAGGGAAAACUUAAAAUCAAUUUUAACUGUAAAAUUGAGGUUUCACUGUAAGUCAAUGGGGUUGUUUUUUGCCCUGCAUUUUGAGCCUACUUACUUUAGCUUGGAAAUACUCCAGGGGUGUCUGUAUUCAGCCCAAGUGGUAAGUUGUCUACAUCCCAUGCAGCUAGCCAAUGGGGCAACCAAACAGAUAAGUGCACUUUGGCCACCCGCGUGUUUCAAUAUAUGUCAAAUUGUGCAGCUGUGUCUGGCGAUGUAUAAUAUGUUGAACAAAGCUGUGUGUUUAACUUUCAUAUAGUUGCUCUGUACUUUUAACUCUGCUAUAUCCACAAAAUCAAAAAGGAAGAGGAACGCCAGCAGAAUAACUGCAAAACAUUUACUCCAGGUUCCGGCACAAUAACUGCAAAACAUUUAUUCCAGGUUCCGGCACAAUAACUGCAAAACAUUUAUUCCAGGUUCCGGCAGGAUAACUGCAAAACAUUUAUUCCAGGUUCCG